rnacentral:lncRNA from 1 species
CCCCAGCACCUUGCCCCCUAUAGCGUGGUGGCCUCCAACCCUGCGAGGACUGCCGUUAUUUUUAUUUUUAUUUUAUUUUUUUUUUUUUUUUGUCUAGCGAAAGACCUGUACCUCAAGGCGAGCGGGCCGCCUAAUUACAUAACUGUAACUCCGUAUCUCCGUGUUUCUACGUCUCCCUUUCCCCCCCCCCAGCCCACCCGCUGCUGGAGGAGGAUGCUGCGGCCGCGCGCGGAGCCAGGCCCCGGGCGCGCUUCUUGCUGGAAAACCCCGGAGCGAGGCCGUCAGCGUGUGGGGCUUGGUGCCACGGGCAGCCCGCCGCCGCCCCCGCGCCCAGGGGAUGAUGUAGAGGGCCAGGAGCGGCUGGGUGAUAGGGAGCAGCGGUCGCGCUAAGGCAAAACCAGGCAGGCGUCAGCGAAAACAACCCUUGUAGCUCAGUUUGGGGAACGAUAUUUUUGCUCUCAACACCGUACGAUGCUCUGCGUAGAGAAUCAAGUGUCUAAAGCGUGCCACAGGCAAGCCCUUCAACGCAGGAAUCUGAAAACCGUGGAGGAGUUGCCCGGAGUGGUUCCCAUGCUGCUGUGCAGUGGCGCGCAGCCGCUGCCAGGACAGAUUGAGUACAAGAUGGAGAUGAUCCUCCAAAGAUGCCUUUCACCAAAAAAAAAAAGCGCUCACUUUCUGCAGACAACCUCAUCGUGUUGGACCAGAGAUACUUCUUACCUUGGAAGAAAAGACAGGCUAUGGGCGCAGAUUGGGAAUUGGAAGACUCUCAAGAUAAAACAGAAUUGUCAUGUGGAGCUCCUUGUGAGGAAUCAGGCAAAAAUUCCUUUUCUGUUAGAGGGACCAAAGAGGCACCCUUUUCCCUCAAAGAGGGACCCUUUUUCUGUUCUUGAUUGCAGGUAAACCUACUAUUGGGGUUUUUAUGAGGGCAAUUCGUUGUAAGUUCUUAAUAACAGAUGUAUUUUUAUUUUAUUUUAUUUUUUUUAAUUCUAAAGCAAAAUGACCUUGGAUUAGCCACUUCCUGCCCCCUGAGGUGGCUGCAAAGAUGACUGAGUACUGCAGAACUUCCUAGGUUACCUAAAAUAAAGACUUAAUUUGACUGGGUAACUUCGUGGGU